GGAAGGGACAGAAAUUGGAGAGCUUGUGUUUCCCUGGAGGGCUACUGCUAGCAGCUGCUGGGAACUCCUUCCCCAGGACUGGCAGUGAGGCUCCCUGGAUGCAGCCCUGGCCUGACUGAGAUUUUCCUGAGAGUAAAAU